AGCAGAUCGACACGACUUUGCCAUUGUGAUCCCUCCAGGAGGCACAGAAUGCUUCUGGCAAUUUGCCCACCAGACUGGCUACUUCUAUUUCAGUUAUGAGGUUUUUAUCGGCUUUGUCUAGCAAACCAGCAAAAUCGCUUUGCUUCCGUGCAAGUAUACCUCAACUUUGGAGUCUUCUACGAGGGGCCUGAGAUGGACCACAAAGAGAAGGAAAGAAAACAACUGAACGAUACUCUGGAUGCAAUUGAGGUAAUUGUUCCAUGGGAGAGAAACAUCCAUGGAAACUAAGUUUAAAUUUGGAGGAAAGAUUAGAAUUAGUGGGAAUAAUAUCAUACUAGUGAAAGCUCAUUUGGGUAGAAACCAAACAGGCAAAAAGAUUUGAAGCCUUUAAUUUUGUGACUUGGAGCUCUUGAAAUUCCUCACUUGAUGCCUCUACCAGGCAUCAGCAAAUAAUGGCUCACAGCCUUUUAAUUUAGAUACAAUACACCACUUUUAGUGUACAGUUUAGUGGUUUACAAGGUCCUGCAACCAUUACCAGCAUCUAAUUCCAGAAGUUUCAUCACUCCAAAAAUAAACUGCAUGCCUGUUAUUCACUCUCUGUUCUCCAUGCCCCCCUAGUCCUGGGUAAUCCCUCACUAAUCUAUUUUCUGUUUCUACAGAUUUGCCUCUUCUGUACAUUUCACAUGAGGGGACUCAUACAAUGUGGCCUUUUGUGUUUGGCUUCUUUCAUUGAGCAUGUUUUCAAGGUUCAGCCACAUUGUACCAUGUGUUAGUACUUCAUUCCUUUUUCUGGAUGAAUAAUAUUCUAUUGUAUAUAGGCACUGUAUUUUGUUUCUUAUCAGCUGGUAGGCAUUUGGGUUAUUUCCACUUCUUGGCUAUUAUAAAUAAUGAUGCUGUGAGCACCAGCAUAUAGAUUUUUGUAUGAACAUACUUCUAUUUCUGUACACAUAAAAGUGGUAUACUCUGCUAGUAUGAUAACUUUUUAACUUCAAUGAGGAACUGCUCUUUUCCACUGUGGGUAACACAUUUUACAUCCCACCAGCAGUGUCUGUUGAGAGCUGCAAUUUCUCUAUAUCCUUGCCAAUGUGUUAUUGUCUUUGUUAUAGCAAUCCUAGUGGGUGUAAGUGGUAUCUUGUGGUUUUUGAGUUGUGUCUCCAAUGACUAAUGACACUGAACAUUUUUCCAUGUGUUUUUUGGCCUUUUCUAUAUCUACUUCAGAGAAAUAUCUAUUCAAAUCCUUUGCCCAUCUUAAAAUCUAGUGUUUUUAAAUGGUGGACUUCUAAGAGUCCUUUAUAUAGUCUAGAUAACAGUCCUUUAUCAGAUAUAUGGUUUGCAAAUAUUGAAUUGGCCAAAAAAGCUUGUUCAGGAUUUUCUAGCCUAUCUUCCAGAAAAACUUUUCAGCCAAUACAGUAUUUUAUCCCACUGUUUGGGAUCUCUCUCCACUUUCUUGAUAGUCUCCCUGAUGCACAAAAGCCCAGUUUUUGUAAGUGAGGUUUUACUGGGACAAAACAAUGCUCAUUUGACAAUUACAGUUGGUCCCCCUCUGUAUCUGCAAGUGGAGAAUCUGAAGAUAUGGAGGGCUGACAAUGGGACCAGAGCAUCCUCUGCAGGUCCUGGGACCAACCUCCCUGAAGAUACUGGGGGACAGCUAACUGGGCACAUGUCCGUGGCUGUUUUUGUGCCACAGUGGCAGAGUUUAGUAACCACAACAGAGACUGUAUGGCUUUCAAAGCCUAGAAUAUUUACUGUCUGGCCCUUCAGUAAAAAAUUUGCAGGCUCUUAUCUUCUACCAUAUACAAAGAACAGAAGACACUGCCCAGAACAUCACUGAUGUGCUGAGUAUAUGUCUACAUCUAGACACACUCUGGAAGAGCUUUCUGGUUUCAGCACUGAAGUUUUUCAUUGUAAAAAUUAUUUUUUAAAAACUGAAGUCCAAGUAAUUUUUUCAUAUACAACAAAACUAGCCAUUUACCAACAACUCCAAUAGCCCUUGUUUUUUUUGUUCUGCACCCUCAAUAGCCAACUUUUACAUAUCAUAAAAUCACGUGAAUAUAGGAGGUUAGUGCUGGUGGGUA